CCCAGUUCCCCUCCGCCCCCUCCCCCCAAACGCCAAAACCCGCGGCUCAGCGUCCGCCGAGGCGAAGCGGGGGCGCGCACACGCCGGGCGUGGGCUUCUCACACUCUCCAUUCCCCCUGCCCCCACCCGCUCCCCGGCCCCUCCGAUUCCCCGCCCCGCGCGCCGCGACGGCGAUGCUCCGCCCCUCCCCGCUGCUGCCCGUGCCCGGCGCCUCCGCCUCCGCGACGGCGGCCCCGCCCGGCAGGGCCGCCAGCAUGCGGAUGUUCCACGGCGACGUGUUCCUCGGCGAGGCGGACGUCUUCCCGAUCAAGCCCGGGCCCGAGGGCGCCCUGCCCUUCCCCAGCAACGAGAUCCGCAUCAGCCACCUCUCGCCGGCCAGCGAGCGCUGCCCGCCCCUCGCCAUCCUGCAGACCAUCGCGCCCUUCUCCGUGCGCUGCAAGCUCCAGGCCAGGCCGCUCCCUCCCCACCCCAGCCUCCACCGCCUCUACCUCACCUGCUUCAACGAGUACAAGAGCGCGGUGGUGGUGGUCGGAGACGAGGAGCUGCACCUGGUGGCAAUGCCGAGCAAGGUGGAGAAGGUGCCGUGCUUCUGGUGCUGCUCUGUGCGGGCUGGGCUCUAUGCAGCGUCCGUGGGGAUGCUCAACCUCCGCUGCCUUGCUAUUGUGUUUGAUCUUGAUGAGACCCUCAUCGUUGCUAACACGAUGAGGUCCUUUGAGAGCCGGAUCGAGAUGCUUUCCCGUAGGAUGGACAUUGAGGAUGACCCUGUCAGGGUAGCGGGGAUGUCUGCAGAAAUCAAGCGGUAUAUUGAGGACAGGGAGCUUCUCAAGGAGUUCAUUGACACAGACACUGUUACAGACAAUGGCAGAAUUGUUGGCACCCAGAAGGAGGAGGUUCAGCCUAUGCCUGGUGUCCAGGAGCGUCUUGUUCGGCCUGUAAUCAGGUUGCCCGAGAGGAAUGCUAUUCUGACCCGCAUCAAUCCAGAGAUUCGCGAUACCAGUGUUUUUGUGAAGCUAAGGCCUGCCUGGGAGGAUUUGAGAAGUUACCUAACUGCCAAGGGACGCAAAAGAUUUGAGGUCUAUGUGUGUACAAUGGCUGAAAGAGAUUAUGCUCUUGAGAUAUGGAGACUUCUUGAUCCAGAAGCCAAUUUGAUCAGCUUGAAUAAUCUUUCAGAUCGUGUAGUAUGUGUAAAAGCAGGUUCCAAGAAGUCCCUGCAGCAUGUUUUUAGAGAAGGAGGAUGCCAUCCAAAGAUGGCCAUGGUGAUUGAUGAUAGGCUGCAAGUUUGGGAUGAGAAAGAUCAGCAUCGAGUUCAUGUCGUCCCUGCCUAUGCUCCAUACUAUGCCCCACAAGCCGAGAUGGCAAACGCUGUUCCAGUGCUCUGUGUUGCGAGAAAUGUUGCUUGCAAUGUUCGUGGUGGUUUCUUCAGGGAAUUUGAUGAAAAUCUACUGAAGAAAGUAUUUGAACUAUUGUACGAAAAUGAGUUACUGGAUCUUCCCUAUGCUCCAGAUGUCGGUGACUACUUAGUCUCCGAGGACCCUAAUUUUCCACCAAGCAAUAAAGAUCCUGCCCCUAUACCUGAGGGUAUGAGUGGAGCUGAAGUAGAGAAGAGAUUGAAUGGGCGGGCAUAUCAGGGGGACCAAAAACAGAUAUCGUCAUCAAUCCGUCCAUCAGAUGAUGCACGAGUGGCAAUCCGGGGAACUCUAGGCAGUUCAAAUGUGCAACCCAAUGGGGGCUCAAUGGCAAUUGUCCCUUCUUUGUUUGUCACGGUAUUGCAAGAAAUUGGACGACUAUGCAAUUCGAAGGUGGAGUUUAGGUCUACUGUAAGCACCAGCAAAAUUACACAAUUUUCUGUUGAGGUUCUAUUUAGUAAUGAAAAAAUUGGAAAUGGCAUUGGAAAAACAAGAGAUGAAGCUCAAGUACAAGCUGCUGAAAAAGCUCUCCAAAAUUUGCAAAGCAAUUACUUGUCAUAUGUUGCUCCUAUCGCUGGAGUUCUUAACAAAGACACAAGCAACUCUUCUAGGAAUGGAAAUGGCUUUCUGGAAGACGAUCUGGAUUCAGAUGGUGAUACUGCCAUGCAAGAACCAUCUGGAAGUAAAUCAGAACAGAAGGAUCAUUCAAAUGUGGAUAGGUUGCCCUCUGUAUUAAGUCUUAUUAGAGAACUUUGCUUGGAGGAUCAACAUGUAGUAUUUCGAGAUCAAGUCCGGAAUCCUGGCUCAGCAACCAAUGAAGAAUACCAUUUCCAGUUGUGACCAGUUCUCAUCUGUGCGGCUGUGCCCAGUACCUGUCUUUGGCUGGACGCCGGUGGGUGCUGCCAGUAUUGGUAAAUGAUCCGCUGGGUCUGCUAAAGGGUUGCAGUAUAAGCCAGAAGGCCGACGACCUUUUCACUGAAACAAACUGGUGUCUUCAAAGUUGAACUAGCGGGACAGAUUCUUGGGAAUGGUAUUGGUGUGAACAAAGAUUUCGCGAAGCUUCAGGCGGCAGAAGAGGCGCUGAGGUUCUUGAAAACAACCACUGACCCACAGAUUAAGAAGCAUUUGAGACCAAUAAGAUGCAGCAGUUGAUUUCUUCACCCUCUGGCCCCAACCAAAUGAGUUGAAAGAAAGUGGAAUGUGGAAUCAAUCCCUCAGCCAUUAGCACACCUUUAGCCUUCGGAUAGGCAACUUUUGGAAGUGGCAUUACGGAGAGCGGGACGUGGUGCUCCGUCGAAUCUUGUGACCACCUUCGCCGGAGAAUCUUCUCGGAGACUAUUUUGCCUCCGGGCAACUACAACUGCAGCCGUAGUCAUCUCGGUAGGAUGCUGGCGUAGUUGGCUGUAAACAGGUAGGAAUGUAGGAUUAGUCGUGAAUAGUAACUGUUUGCCUGAUGGAUGCGGUUGCUUGUAAAUUGUUCAGGGGCAUUGAAACUGGAAUGCUCGUGCUGAUUUCAAAGUUUAUAUGUUCAUAAGCGGUGGUGAUGUUC